UACGGAGGGGGCUAGCGUUGCUCGGAAUCACUGGGCGUAAAGCGCACGUAGGCGGAUUGUUAAGUCAGGGGUGAAAUCCUGGAGCUCAACUCCAGAACUGCCUUUGAUACUGGCGAUCUCGAGUGCGGGAGAGGUGAGUGGAACUGCGAGUGUAGAGGUGAAAUUCGUAGAUAUUCGCAAGAACACCAGUGGCGAAGGCGGCUCACUGGCCCGGUACUGACGCUGAGGUGCGAAAGCGUGGGGAGCAAACAGG
rnacentral:rRNA from 1 species